CCACCGCGGUCAUACAAGAGACCCAAAUUAACCGUAUACGGCGUAAAGAGUGGCACUAUGAUAUCACAGUGACUAGGAUUAAGAUGCAACUAAGCUGUCAUAAGCCCAAGGUGUACUUAAGAUCACCCUUAAGAUGAUCCUAGUACUUCUGAUUGAUUUAACCCCACGAAAGCUAGGGCACAAACUGGGAUUAGAUACCCCACUAUGCCUAGCCCUAAAUCUCGAUGCUUGCCGUACCAAAGCAUCCGCCUGAGAACUACGAGCACAAACGCUUAAAACUCUAAGGACUUGGCGGUGCCCCAAACCCAUCUAGAGGAGCCUGUUCUAUAAUCGAUAACCCACGAUUCACCCGACCACCUCUCGCCAAAGCAGCCUACAUACCGCCGUCGCCAGCUCACCUUCUCUGAAAGCCCAAUAGUGAGCACAAUAGCCCAACCUGCUAGUAAGACAGGUCAAGGUAUAGCCCAUGAGGUGGAAGAAAUGGGCUACAUUUUCUACGAUAGAAAACCCACGAAAGGGGGCAUGAAACAGCCCCCGGAAGGCGGAUUUAGCAGUAAAGCGGGACAAUAAAGCCCUCUUUAAGUUGGCCCUGGGGCACGUACAUACCGCCCGUCACCCUCCUCAUAAGCCACCAACAACCAUAACUAAUAAAUCUUANGGCUAAAGAUGAGGUAAGUCGUAACAA
rnacentral:rRNA from 1 species